rnacentral:rRNA from 1 species
UACGGAGGGUGCAAGCGUUAUUCGGAAUUACUGGGCGUAAAGCGCACGCAGGCGGUCUGUCAAGUCGGAUGUGAAAUCCCCGGGCUCAACCUGGGAACUGCAUCCGAAACUGGCAGGCUAGAGUCCUGUAGAGGGGGGUAGAAUUCCAGGUGUAGCGGUGAAAUGCGUAGAGAUCUGGAGGAAUACCGGUGGCGAAGGCGGCCCCCUGGACAAAGACUGACGCUCAGGUGCGAAAGCGUGGGGAGCAAACAGGAUUAGAUACCCUGGUAGUCCACGCCGUAAACGAUGUCGACUAGGAGGUGGUGGCCUUGAGGCGUGGCUGCCGGAGCUAACGCGUUAAGUCGACCGCCUGGGGAGUACGGCCGCAAGGUUAAA